rnacentral:rRNA from 1 species
GCCUACGGGGGGCAGCAGUGGGGAAUAUUGGGCAAUGGGCGCAAGCCUGACCCAGCAACGCCGCGUGAAGGAAGAAGGCUUUCGGGUUGUAAACUUCUUUUCUGAGGGACGGUAGUGACGGUACCUCAGGAAUAAGCCACGGCUAACUACGUGCCAGCAGCCGCGGUAAUACGUAGGUGGCAAGCGUUAUCCGGAUUUACUGGGUGUAAAGGGUGCGUAGGCGGAUUUUUAAGUCAGCGGUAAAAUGUCCGGGCUCAACCCG